AGCCUUGCUGAAUUAUUCACCCUUGUCUUUUGCGUACUUCUUGUUUCCUUGGUGGGUUCGCCCACCACUAGGACAAACAUAAACCUUUUGUAAUUGCAAUCAGCGUCAGUAACAAAUUAAUAAUUACAACUUUCAACAACGGAUCUCUUGGUUCUGGCAUCGAUGAAGAACGCAGCGAAAUGCGAUAAGUAGUGUGAAUUGCAGAAUUCAGUGAAUCAUCGAAUCUUUGAACGCACAUUGCGCCCUUUGGUAUUCCAAAGGGCAUGCCUGUUCGAGCGUCAUUUGUACCCUCAAGCUUUGCUUGGUGUUGGGCGUCUUGUCUCUAGCUUUGCUGGAGACUCGCCUUAAAGUAAUUGGCAGCCGGCCUACUGGUUUCGGAGCGCAGCACAAGUCGCACUCUCUAUCAGCAAAGGUCUAGCAUCCAUUAAGCCUUUUUUUCAACUUUUGACCUCGGAUCAGGUAGGGAUACCCGCUGAACUUAAGCAUAUCAAUAACCCGGA
rnacentral:misc_RNA from 1 species